CAGAAGAUGCUUCCCUACAUUUUCUUCCAGGAGUUUUAUAUGGCUCUUACAGGGCAAGGUCCUUGGCUUCAAUGAUCCAUAAACGAAGAACAUUUUCAGCUCGCCUGCAAUUGUCCUAUAAAGAAGCAACAAAGUUGAAUUUCAGAGCUGAUAUCCUAGAAAAAGAACACAUUCCCCUUAUGUAGAAGUCUUGUCCAAGAAUGCUACUAUGGAGUGGUUUCACGGAUACGGGCUCCCCUCUACCAAGAUCCAGACAUUCCACUGCACUGCAUGGACUCAGCAAGGAUUCAUGGGAACGUGACUCUUUUAGUUUAGGCAGCCC